CGAUAGCUCAGUCGGUAGAGCAGAGGACUGAAAAUCCUCGUGUCGCUGGUUCGAUUCCGGCUCGA
rnacentral:tRNA from 1 species